rnacentral:lncRNA from 1 species
UUUGAUUUCUCUCUCGAGGAGUCCACGCAGAGACGACUGGACCUGUCAGUGAAACACAACGUCUCCUUCAUGAGCAGAGAGAAGGAACUUAUUGGCAAGUUGCAGCUGGACCUGGACCAAAUUGACCUCAAGACUGGUGUAACACAAUGGUACGAUUUGGUACCAGAGACCAACUAGAAGAAAAGAUGCUUGAUCUCCAGUACGAUAUAACGUUGAUUGUUGCUUCUGUGAUUUGUCUGUGUUUUAUUGUUUAUUCAGCUUAUGUGCAAUUGGACCAUCACUGAAGAAAAAAAAAAUCCACAAUAGCACAGCCCAUCAGUAUUUAUGAAGACAGAUUUGUCUUGUAGCUGAUCAUCCAUAGUGUUACCUGUGCGGAGUCCAUGCUUUCAGAGAUGAAGUCUUCAGUAUCUUCCGGCUGAAUAGAUAUUUGAUAAUAAUGCAACCAUGUUGCAAAACGUACCAAGGUUAUACUGUAUAUGUGCAAAAGCACUUAAAAGUCCUCUUCAGAGUUUAGUCACAAAAGGCCUUAUGCUGUGAUCACACUGA